AACACAUGCAAGUCGAACGGAAAGGCCCUGCUUGCAGGGUACUCGAGUGGCGAACGGGUGAGUAACACGUGGGUGAUCUGCCCUGCACUUCGGGAUAAGCUUGGGAAACUGGGUCUAAUACCGGAUAGGAACCAUCUUUAGUGUGGUGGUUGGAAAGUUUUUUCGGUGUAGGAUGAGCUCGCGGCCUAUCAGCUUGUUGGUGGGGUAAUGGCCUACCAAGGCGGCGACGGGUAGCCGGCCUGAGAGGGUGUACGGCCACAUUGGGACUGAGAUACGGCCCAGACUCCUACGGGAGGCAGCAGUGGGGAAUAUUGCACAAUGGGCGCAAGCCUGAUGCAGCGACGCCGCGCGGGGGAUGAAGGCCUUCGGGUUGUAAACUCCUUUCGCUAGGGACGAAGCUUUUUGUGACGGUACCUAGAUAAGAAGCACCGGCUAACUACGUGCCAGCAGCCGCGGUAAUACGUAGGGUGCGAGCGUUGUCCGGAAUUACUGGGCGUAAAAGGCUCGUAGGUGGUUUGUCGCGUCGUCUGUGAAAUUCUGGGGCUUAACUCCGGGCGUGCAGGCGAUACGGGCAUAACUUGAGUGCUGUAGGGGUAACUGGAAUUCCUGGUGUAGCGGUGAAAUGCGCAGAUAUCAGGAGGAACACCGAUGGCGAAGGCAGGUUACUGGGCAGUUACUGACGCUGAGGAGCGAAAGCAUGGGUAGCGAACAGGAUUA
rnacentral:rRNA from 1 species